rnacentral:tRNA from 6 species
GCCCGGAUGAUGAAACUGGUAGACAUACCGGACUUAAAAUCCGGAGCCUUCGGGCGUGCGGGUUCGAUUCCCGCUCCGGGCACCA